rnacentral:rRNA from 1 species
UACGAAGGGGGCGAGCGUUGUUCGGAUUUACUGGGCGUAAAGGGCGCGUAGGCGGCGCCGCAAGUCGAGUGUGAAAGCCCCGGGCUCAACCUGGGAAUUGCGCUCGAGACUGUGGUGCUGGAGUUCGGGAGAGGAGCGUGGAAUUCCCAGUGUAGAGGUGAAAUUCGUAGAUAUUGGGAAGAACACCGGUGGCGAAGGCGGCGCUCUGGACCGAGACUGACGCUGAGGCGCGAAGGCGUGGGGAGCAAACAGG